CCCCACACCUCCUAACCUCCUGAACCCACUGACCCAAAAAGUUCUCUUGUAUCUUGCAAGGUGCCUUAGUGGCAAGUGAUGGUGAAAUGUUUGUUUUGCCUUUCAUAACCUGGCAGUGAGUAAGGACUUGCUCUGUUCCCCUGAGGAAAGCUGGCAUCUGGCAUUGCUGGGCCACAUAGGGAAGCUUCCUAAUAAUCUAGCUGUUUUUACUUCCUAAAAAUCAAAUUGUAAGCCUGCCGGAGAAGACGACUUGACAAAGCUCAGAUGCCGUAAAUGAGACAGAGUGAUUUCUGUUCAGCCAUGCUCAUGCCUCACUCUCUCCUCUGAGUCUGCUUUGUUGCCAGAAGGACCUGAGGGAGGACCAGUAGAGGCUGGGUCUCCCCUGUGGUAGAGCAUUCAGGUGUAGACUGAAGCCACGAUGCAUUUGGCUCUGCCUCGUUCAUGGCAAAGACAGGUAUAUGAGGAUCAAGGCACUUCCACAAGAAGAGUUAAAGGUGUUCAUAAUCCCUCCAACACAGCCACACAAUGGAAGAUUCCCCGACAAGCACAAGAGGGUACUUACCUGCCUUGAGAAAGACGGGAAUCCUCCUGUGGCUAAAUCCUGGCAGCAGAGGAUUUUUCUAGUAGCACUGGAGCUGCAAAAUCUUACCUGAAAUGUCCUAUGGGACUUUAAGAAUGUAUACCGUAUUAAAUGGCAUGGUUCUUUCAUGAGUGCUGGAAGAAGGUAAGGUUUUCUGCAGGAUUCAGAGGAGGACGGACUGAAGCCCACAGCAUGAGAUUAUGAGCUCCUUGAGGACAGAAACUGCCUAACUUGUUCAUCACUGUACUGCUGCACCAAGGGCAGUGAUGAGCUGAUGGUAGAUGUUGGCUGAGUGGGUGGAUGGCUAGAUGGACGAUGCCAUCCUGUGGGGCGAAAGGUACAUCGAUGAAUAACAUAGUUACCUUAGGGCCUGCUAGGCACCCUGGGAUUUGCUGUGAGCUGCCCAAGGCACUAGCAUUGCCAUCGUGAAUGUGUGCUUGUGACUUGAAGACCCAGUCUGUAGCUUGAAGUGAAUACCAUUAGUGUUUCCUGACUCUUCCCCCAGAACUCAUCCACACACCAAUGGGAAUAAACCUGUACCCCUUGGGACCUGGGGCCUUCAAAAUCUCAUUCUAAUGUUUGUGCAUUUUAUGAAAAAAUUGAUAUUUUCCUAAGACACCCAUUUUUUGUCUUCAUACAAAAUUCUUUUCCCAUCCUUCAGAUUGUGCAUUGUUAACAAGUCUAUGGCUUGUGGUAUGCCUGGCAAAACUCUGGCAUGACCCAGGGAGUCCCUGUACCCUUCUUGAGAAUCACAGGAUGAAGAUCUUGUCCACAAGAUACUACUGCUAACAUGGAAAUAUUGUAGUUGGGAGAGGCUCCUCCCAAGGGGUAAGCGCUGGAAGAUGACAAGAGAGAAGGAAGCCCCUAGAGAUCGCCCUGGAACCAAACCACCCUAAAUGGAGCCGGGAGGUCUGUCAAUUCCCAGAGAGCAACGAGGAAAUGGAAGGCUGAUUUCUAAAGUCUGGAAGAUUUAGGAUGAAGAGUCCAGAGCCUGCAAUUGGAUUGCAAGGGUUAAAUUCCCAGCUCUACCUUGGACUAGCCGGUGGCCUUG
ensembl:lncRNA